rnacentral:rRNA from 1 species
UACGUAGGGUGCGAGCGUUGUCCGGAAUUAUUGGGCGUAAAGAGCUCGUAGGCGGUUUGUCACGUCUGCUGUGAAAUCCCGAGGCUCAACCUGGGAACCGCGCUUGAGACUGGCACACUCGAGUUCGGGAGAGGAUGGUGGAAUUCCCAGUGUAGAGGUGAAAUUCGUAGAUAUUGGGAAGAACACCGAUGGCGAAGGCAGCCAUCUGGACCGACACUGACGCUGAGGCGCGAAAGCGUGGGGAGCAAACAGG